CCUCCGCCUCUCCUCCAUGGCAGAUCCGCCGCCGCCGUUCAACGCCACGGAUGUUCACGGCCAUCGCCUGGCCGUGGAAGAGCACGGCCGCCGUCUCUUCGUCCUCCAUCGCUGCCGUUCGUCGUCGGAUUCGCUGUGAGGAGCCGAGCACCGUCUCACAAAGAUCGGAGACAACGGCAGGUUCACCGCCGCCGCUCCGUCGCCGGCGACGAGCCACCGCGGCUGCCGCCUCCCUCUGAUCUCAACUCACAUAUACA